rnacentral:rRNA from 1 species
CCUACGGGAGGCAGCAGUGGGGAAUUUUGGACAAUGGGGGCAACCCUGAUCCAGCAAUGCCGCGUGAGUGAAGAAGGCCUUCGGGUUGUAAAGCUCUUUUGUCGGGGAAGAAACGGGACUUACUAAUACUAGGUUCUAAUGACGGUACCCGAAGAAUAAGCACCGGCUAACUACGUGCCAGCAGCCGCGGUAAUACGUAGGGUGCGAGCGUUAAUCGGAAUUACUGGGCGUAAAGCGUGCGCAGGCGGUUAUAUAAGACAGUUGUGAAAUCCCCGGGCUCAACCUGGGAACUGCAAUUGUGACUGUAUGGCUAGAGUGUGUCAGAGGGGGGUAGAAUUCCACGUGUAGCAGUGAAAUGCGUAGAGAUGUGGAGGAAUACCGAUGGCGAAGGCAGCCCCCUGGGAUAACACUGACGCUCAUGCACGAAAGCGUGGGGAGCAAACAGGAUUAGACUACCCGUGGUAGUCCACGCCCUAAACGAUGUACUAUUAGUUGUUUAGGUUUUAACUUAACUUAGUAACGAAGUACUAACGCGACGAAAUACGACCGUCCGUGGGGUACGUACCGGCCGACGUAAAGGUUAAACCUACGAAAAGGUAAGUUGGACCGGCGUGAGACGUACGACCGACGGACGACGACGACGGGAGGUAGG